ensembl:lncRNA
GACUCACCACAACUCCUUGGCCACUGCUCUGGGCUACCAGGAUGGGACCUUGAAAUGCAAAAUCAGUAGGCUUCAUCACAGGGUCCUGUAAUACUUCCAGAGGACUCACAAGCACAGCAAACCCAGUCCAUCAGCCAGCUGCUGACAGGGGCUUAGCAUACUCCCAGUGGAUUCCCUAAAGCACAAAAACAAGAAUGGAGGAUUACAGUUGCACCAAAAACUGAAACCUUAGCAAGAACAACUGCUUCUGUCCACUGCUCACCUGGCACACUGGGCUUUGACUGCUGCUAUCUGCCUGGACCUCCUAAAAGUAAAGGCAAAGAACAGUGCUGAAACAGAUUCACCAUUUAUGCUUCCCCUGUAAAUGCAAACAAUGACUGACCAGCUCAUGGGAAGUUCCUCAUCCAGGACUGGUGCCCUUUGCCACCGAUUUGUACUGUCUGCAUCUGAAAGGAAGUUAGGACUAAUGUCAAACCUCUACAGGACAACUUAACAGUACCAAGCAUGUUAUGUCAAUCUCCUAAAAAAAUCUGGAGCCCAGCUGCAACCUGCAUUACUAAUUUCAAGUCCCCAGGACUUGUGCUAUUACAGGCUACACAGCAGGGCAGAGCAGCUCCGGUACAAAUAUGUGCAGACACCCGUGACACAGGACAGGACAUGACAAACCAGGAGACAGAACAGGGAGGGAGAGCUUUUGAUGAGAAGAAAGGACUGAGAGACCCAAAGAACACAGAGUGCACCAGAGACAAGUGACAGAACACACACCAGAACUGCUCUGCCCUGCGCACCUCAGCACUGUGAUCAAAACAGACACUUUCCCUUCAGCUGGCCUAAGGAGACGCUUCUUAGACAUCCCCGUAUCCAAAACUGACUCAAAAACCCCUCCUGGGGACUCCCAACCUGGCACCUCGCUUCCAUGCCCUCUGUGGGUUGUAGCCCUUGACUUAUCUGGCAUAUAUCUGGGGAUCCAAAUCUCCAUCGGGUGCAGAACGAGGCCUCCUGCCUGUCUGGGAAACUCCAGUUGUCACCAGACUGUUCUCUCUUGGUCUGCCAAGACAAAGAAAACCAAACAUCAGUGCACAACCGUAACAGCACAAUGGCCAAAACCUGACAAUUCUGCUACUCACCAUUCUCCUCAGAAUGGUCGGGCCACACACCGCAGGCGUGCUUGGAGGCCGACAGCAUCAUCUCAGGGUACACCUAGAUUAAGUGGAGAAAGGGUGACAUGGCAUUGCUGAAACUUGAGUGGACUCUCACUCCUCCUCCCUACCUCCCCGACUCACCACAACUCCUUGGCCACUGCUCUGGGCUACCAGGAUGGGACCUUGAAAUGCAAAAUCAGUAGGCUUCAUCACAGGGUCCUGUAAUACUUCCAGAGGACUCACAAGCACAGCAAACCCAGUCCAUCAGCCAGCUGCUGACAGGGGCUUAGCAUACUCCCAGUGGAUUCCCUAAAGCACAAAAACAAGAAUGGAUGAUUACAGUUGCACCAAAAACUGAAACCUUAGCAAGAACAACUGCUUCUGUCCACUGCUCACCUGGCACACUGGGCUUUGACUGCUGCUAUCUGCCUGGACCUCCUAAAAGUAAAGGCAAAGAACAGUGCUGAAACAGAUUCACCAUUUAUGCUUCCCCUGUAAAUGCAAACAAUGACUGACCAGCUCAUGGGAAGUUCCUCAUCCAGGACUGGUGCCCUUUGCCACCGAUUUGUACUGUCUGCAUCUGAAAGGAAGUUAGGACUAAUGUCAAACCUCUACAGGACAACUUAACAGUACCAAGCAUGUUAUGUCAAUCUCCUAAUAAAAUCUGGAGCCCAGCUGCAACCUGCAUUACUAAUUUCAAGUCCCCAGGACUUGUGCUAUUACAGGCUACACAGCAGGGCAGAGCAGCUCCGGUACAAAUAUGUGCAGACACCCGUGACACAGGACAGGACAUGACAAACCAGGAGACAGAACAGGGAGGGAGAGCUUUUGAUGAGAAGAAAGGACUGAGAGACCCAAAGAACACAGAGUGCACCAGAGAAAAGUGACAGAACACACACCAGAACUGCUCUGCCCUGCGCACCUCAGCACUGUGAUCAAAACAGACACUUUCCCUUCAGCUGGCCUAAGGAGACGCUUCUUAGACAUCCCCGUAUCCAAAACUGACUCAAAAACCCCUCCUGGGGACUCCCAACCUGGCACCUCGCUUCCAUGCCCUCUGUGGGUUGUAGCCCUUGACUUAUCUGGCAUAUAUCUGGGGAUCCAAAUCUCCAUCGGGUGCAGAACGAGGCCUCCUGCCUGUCUGGGAAACUCCAGUUGUCACCAGACUGUUCUCUCUUGGUCUGCCAAGACAAAGAAAACCAAACAUCAGUGCACAACCGUAACAGCACAAUGGCCAAAACCUGACAAUUCUGCUACUCACCAUUCUCCUCAGAAUGGUCGGGCCACACACCGCAGGCGUGCUUGGAGGCCGACAGCAUCAUCUCAGGGUACACCUAGAUUAAGUGGAGAAAGGGUGACAUGGCAUUGCUGAAACUUGAGUGGACUCUCACUCCUCCUCCCUACCUCCCCGACUCACCACAACUCCUUGGCCACUGCUCUGGGUUACCAGGAUGGGACCUUGAAAUGCAAAAUCAGUAGGCUUCAUCACAGGGUCCUGUAAUACUUCCAGAGGACUCACAAGCACAGCAAACCCAGUCCAUCAGCCAGCUGCUGACAGGGGCUUAGCAUACUCCCAGUGGAUUCCCUAAAGCACAAAAACAAGAAUGGAGGAUUACAGUUGCACCAAAAACUGAAACCUUAGCAAGAACAACUGCUUCUGUCCACUGCUCACCUGGCACACUGGGCUUUGACUGCUGCUAUCUGCCUGGACCUCCUAAAAGUAAAGGCAAAGAACAGUGCUGAAACAGAUUCACCAUUUAUGCUUCCCCUGUAAAUGCAAACAAUGACUGACCAGCUCAUGGGAAGUUCCUCAUCCAGGACUGGUGCCCUUUGCCACCGAUUUGUACUGUCUGCAUCUGAAAGGAAGUUAGGACUAAUGUCAAACCUCUACAGGACAACUUAACAGUACCAAGCAUGUUAUGUCAAUCUCCUAAUAAAAUCUGGAGCCCAGCUGCAACCUGCAUUACUAAUUUCAAGUCCCCAGGACUUGUGCUAUUACAGGCUACACAGCAGGGCAGAGCAGCUCCGGUACAAAUAUGUGCAGACACCCGUGACACAGGACAGGACAUGACAAACCAGGAGACAGAACAGGGAGGGAGAGCUUUUGAUGAGAAGAAAGGACUGAGAGACCCAAAGAACACAGAGUGCACCAGAGACAAGUGACAGAACACACACCAGAACUGCUCUGCCCUGCGCACCUCAGCACUGUGAUCAAAACAGACACUUUCCCUUCAGCUGGCCUAAGGAGACGCUUCUUAGACAUCCCCGUAUCCAAAACUGACUCAAAAACCCCUCCUGGGGACUCCCAACCUGGCACCUCGCUUCCAUGCCCUCUGUGGGUUGUAGCCCUUGACUUAUCUGGCAUAUAUCUGGGGAUCCAAAUCUCCAUCGGGUGCAGAACGAGGCCUCCUGCCUGUCUGGGAAACUCCAGUUGUCACCAGACUGUUCUCUCUUGGUCUGCCAAGACAAAGAAAACCAAACAUCAGUGCACAACCGUAACAGCACAAUGGCCAAAACCUGACAAUUCUGCUACUCACCAUUCUCCUCAGAAUGGUCGGGCCACACACCGCAGGCGUGCUUGGAGGCCGACAGCAUCAUCUCAGGGUACACCUAGAUUAAGUGGAGAAAGGGUGACAUGGCAUUGCUGAAACUUGAGUGGACUCUCACUCCUCCUCCCUACCUCCCCGACUCACCACAACUCCUUGGCCACUGCUCUGGGCUACCAGGAUGGGACCUUGAAAUGCAAAAUCAGUAGGCUUCAUCACAGGAUCCUGUAAUACUUCCAGAGGACUCACAAGCACAUCAAACCCAGUCCAUCAGCCAGCUGCUGACAGGGGCUUAGCAUACUCCCAGUGGAUUCCCUAAAGCACAAAAACAAGAAUGGAUGAUUACAGUUGCACCAAAAACUGAAACCUUAGCAAGAACAACUGCUUCUGUCCACUGCUCACCUGGCACACUGGGCUUUGACUGCUGCUAUCUGCCUGGACCUCCUAAAAAUAAAGGCACAGAACAGGGCUGGAACAGAUUCACCAUUUAUGCUUCCCCUGUAAAUGCAAACAAUGACUGACCAGCUCAUGGGAAGUUCCUCAUCCAGGACUGGUGCCCUUUGCCACCGAUUUGUACUGUCUGCAUCUGAAAGGAAGUUAGGACUAAUGUCAAACCUCUACAGGACAACUUAACAGUACCAAGCAUGUUAUGUCAAUCUCCUAAUAAAAUCUGGAGCCCAGCUGCAACCUGCAUUACUAAUUUCAAGUCCCCAGGACUUGUGCUAUUACAGGCUACACAGCAGGGCAGAGCAGCUCCGGUACAAAUAUGUGCAGACACCCGUGACACAGGACAGGACAUGACAAACCAGGAGACAGAACAGGGAGGGAGAGCUUUUGAUGAGAAGAAAGGACUGAGAGACCCAAAGAACACAGAGUGCACCAGAGACAAGUGACAGAACACACACCAGAACUGCUCUGCCCUGCGCACCUCAGCACUGUGAUCAAAACAGACACUUUCCCUUCAGCUGGCCUAAGGAGACGCUUCUUAGACAUCCCCGUAUCCAAAACUGACUCAAAAACCCCUCCUGGGGACUCCCAACCUGGCACCUCGCUUCCAUGCCCUCUGUGGGUUGUAGCCCUUGACUUAUCUGGCAUAUAUCUGGGGAUCCAAAUCUCCAUCGGGUGCAGAACGAGGCCUCCUGCCUGUCUGGGAAACUCCAGUUGUCACCAGACUGUUCUCUCUUGGUCUGCCAAGACAAAGAAAACCAAACAUCAGUGCACAACCGUAACAGCACAAUGGCCAAAACCUGACAAUUCUGCUACUCACCAUUCUCCUCAGAAUGGUCGGGCCACACACCGCAGGCGUGCUUGGAGGCCGACAGCAUCAUCUCAGGGUACACCUAGAUUAAGUGGAGAAAGGGUGACAUGGCAUUGCUGAAACUUGAGUGGACUCUCAGUCCUCCUCCCUACCUCCCCGACUCACCACAACUCCUUGGCCACUGGUCUGGGUUACCAGGAUGGGACCUUGAAAUGCAAAAUCAGUAGGCUUCAUCACAGGGUCCUGUAAUACUUCCAGAGGACUCACAAGCACAGCAAACCCAGUCCAUCAGCCAGCUGCUGACAGGGGCUUAGCAUACUCCCAGUGGAUUCCCUAAAGCACAAAAACAAGAAUGGAGGAUUACAGUUGCACCAAAAACUGAAACCUUAGCAAGAACAACUGCUUCUGUCCACUGCUCACCUGGCACACUGGGCUUUGACUGCUGCUAUCUGCCUGGACCUCCUAAAAGUAAAGGCAAAGAACAGUGCUGAAACAGAUUCACCAUUUAUGCUUCCCCUGUAAAUGCAAACAAUGACUGACCAGCUCAUGGGAAGUUCCUCAUCCAGGACUGGUGCCCUUUGCCACCGAUUUGUACUGUCUGCAUCUGAAAGGAAGUUAGGACUAAUGUCAAACCUCUACAGGACAACUUAACAGUACCAAGCAUGUUAUGUCAAUCUCCUAAAAAAAUCUGGAGCCCAGCUGCAACCUGCAUUACUAAUUUCAAGUCCCCAGGACUUGUGCUAUUACAGGCUACACAGCAGGGCAGAGCAGCUCCGGUACAAAUAUGUGCAGACACCCGUGACACAGGACAGGACAUGACAAACCAGGAGACAGAACAGGGAGGGAGAGCUUUUGAUGAGAAGAAAGGACUGAGAGACCCAAAGAACACAGAGUGCACCAGAGACAAGUGACAGAACACACACCAGAACUGCUCUGCCCUGCGCACCUCAGCACUGUGAUCAAAACAGACACUUUCCCUUCAGCUGGCCUAAGGAGACGCUUCUUAGACAUCCCCGUAUCCAAAACUGACUCAAAAACCCCUCCUGGGGACUCCCAACCUGGCACCUCGCUUCCAUGCCCUCUGUGGGUUGUAGCCCUUGACUUAUCUGGCAUAUAUCUGGGGAUCCAAAUCUCCAUCGGGUGCAGAACGAGGCCUCCUGCCUGUCUGGGAAACUCCAGUUGUCACCAGACUGUUCUCUCUUGGUCUGCCAAGACAAAGAAAACCAAACAUCAGUGCACAACCGUAACAGCACAAUGGCCAAAACCUGACAAUUCUGCUACUCACCAUUCUCCUCAGAAUGGUCGGGCCACACACCGCAGGCGUGCUUGGAGGCCGACAGCAUCAUCUCAGGGUACACCUAGAUUAAGUGGAGAAAGGGUGACAUGGCAUUGCUGAAACUUGAGUGGACUCUCACUCCUCCUCCCUACCUCCCCGACUCACCACAACUCCUUGGCCACUGCUCUGGGCUACCAGGAUGGGACCUUGAAAUGCAAAAUCAGUAGGCUUCAUCACAGGGUCCUGUAAUACUUCCAGAGGACUCACAAGCACAGCAAACCCAGUCCAUCAGCCAGCUGCUGACAGGGGCUUAGCAUACUCCCAGUGGAUUCCCUAAAGCACAAAAACAAGAAUGGAGGAUUACAGUUGCACCAAAAACUGAAACCUUAGCAAGAACAACUGCUUCUGUCCACUGCUCACCUGGCACACUGGGCUUUGACUGCUGCUAUCUGCCUGGACCUCCUAAAAGUAAAGGCAAAGAACAGUGCUGAAACAGAUUCACCAUUUAUGCUUCCCCUGUAAAUGCAAACAAUGACUGACCAGCUCAUGGGAAGUUCCUCAUCCAGGACUGGUGCCCUUUGCCACCGAUUUGUACUGUCUGCAUCUGAAAGGAAGUUAGGACUAAUGUCAAACCUCUACAGGACAACUUAACAGUACCAAGCAUGUUAUGUCAAUCUCCUAAUAAAAUCUGGAGCCCAGCUGAACCCUGCAUUACUAAUUUCAAGUCCCCAGGACUUGUGCUAUUACAGGCUACACAGCAGGGCAGAGCAGCUCCGGUACAAAUAUGUGCAGACACCCGUGACACAGGACAGGACAUGACAAACCAGGAGACAGAACAGGGAGGGAGAGCUUUUGAUGAGAAGAAAGGACUGAGAGACCCAAAGAACACAGAGUGCACCAGAGACAAGUGACAGGACACACACCGGAACUGCUCUGCCCUGCGCACCCCGGCACUGUGAUCAAAACAGACACUUCCUUUAGCUGGCCUAAGGAGACACUUCUUGGACAUCCUCAUCUCUAAAACUAACUCAAAAACCCCUCCUGGGGAGUCCCAACCUGGCACCUCGCUUCCAUCCCCUCUGUGGGUUGUAGCCCUUGACUUAUCUUGCGCAUAUCUGGGGAUUCAAAUCCCUAUCGGGUGCAGAAGGGGGCCACUACUCCCAUCCCCAGGCCAUGGACCAUACUUAUCUUUUGGAUGACUGGAAAUGUGAAUCCAUGUUGGACCUGAAAUGAAUCUGCCUCAGAGGGGAUCUCUUGUUGGCCUCUUAGUCAGCUAGAAUAAAGAACAGGAAAAUCAAUGGUUGAGUUUAGUGUUAUGUGGGCCAAAUCCCAGCAAGUCAGAUACUUAUCCUCUCCUGAGCGUGCCUGGGUGCUCAAGUCUCCAGCUCCAUCCCUAGUCUAAGGUUUGGCUGUUAUUAUGAGUAGCACCUGGUUUAGAGAGGCAAAGUUACAUGGCAUUUCUGUGAGUUCAGUGGAUGAGCUUGUGUGCUGUAUGAUACAUGGAUGCCUCUGCUAUGCUUGUGAAAAGCCUUGCAAAUAGACACCAUUUCUCAACCUACUGCCUGCAAAACCCCACCAUGAUAACUCUUAACUGGGUACCCUGCUCACUCUCCCACUCCUAGUCCCAAACCUCAACUCACCUGAAGCCUCAAUCUCAGACAUCAUCUUUGACACAGGGCAGAUCCCUUUUGGAACAUGAUCACUCUGCUGAAAAAAUGCUGUACUCGACACAACCUGGAAUUACAG